GAUGAAGAACGUAGUGAAAUGCGAUAAGUAAUGCGAAUUGCAGAAUUCCGUGAGUCAUCGAAUCUUUGAACGCACAUUGCGCCCUCUGGUAUUCCGGAGGGCAUGCCUGUCUGAGCGUCAUUGUCAACCCUCAAGCUCAGCUUGCUGUUGGGUCCCCGUCGUUGCUUUAACGGCGGACCCGAAAGGUAAUGGCAGAGUCCAUGAGACCCUAGACGCAGCGAGCUUCUAGCACGCGUCUGGACGUUUUUCGGGCUCGGUCUUAACUAGAUGAUAACUUCCGAUUGACCUCAGAUCAGGUAGGGAUACCCGCUGAACUUAAGCAUAUCAAUAAGCGGAGGA
rnacentral:misc_RNA from 1 species